GAUGAACGCUGGCGGCGUGCUUAACACAUGCAAGUCGAACGAUGAAGCCCAGCUUGCUGGGUGGAUUAGUGGCGAACGGGUGAGUAACACGUGAGUAACCUGCCCUUGACUCUGGGAUAAGCCUGGGAAACUGGGUCUAAUACCGGAUAGGAACGUCCACCGCAUGGUGGUUGUUGGAAAGAUUUAUCGGUCAUGGAUGGACUCGCGGCCUAUCAGCUUGUUGGUGAGGUAAUGGCUCACCAAGGCGACG
rnacentral:rRNA from 1 species